UACGGGGGGGGCAAGCGUUGUUCGGAAUUACUGGGCGUAAAGGGUUCGUAGGUGGCCUGCUAAGUCAGACGUGAAAUCCCUCAGCUUAACUGGGGAACUGCGUCUGAGACUGGCGGGCUUGAAUCCGGGAGAGGGAUGCAGAAUUCCAGGUGUAGCGGUGAAAUGUGUAGAUAUCUGGAGGAAUACCGGUGGCGAAGGCGGCAUCCUGGACCGGCAUUGACGCUGAGGCGCGAAAGCCAGGGGAGCAAACGGG
rnacentral:rRNA from 1 species